GAGGGUAUAGUUCAGUGGUAGAGUGUGUUCUUUGCAUGCACAAGGUCCUGAGUUCAAUCCCCAGUAUCUCUA
rnacentral:tRNA from 1 species